AUUGAACGCUGGCGGCAUGCCUUACACAUGCAAGUCGAACGGCAGCACGGGUGCUUGCACCUGGUGGCGAGUGGCGAACGGGUGAGUAAUACAUCGGAACAUGUCCUGUAGUGGGGGAUAGCCCGGCGAAAGCCGGAUUAAUACCGCAUACGAUCUACGGAUGAAAGCGGGGGACCUUCGGGCCUCGCGCUAUAGGGUUGGCCGAUAGCUGAUUAGCUAGUUGGUGGGGUAAAGGCCUACCAAGGCGACGAUCAGUAGCUGGUCUGAGAGGACGACCAGCCACACUGGGACUGUGACACGGCCCAGACUCCUACGGGAGGCAGCAGUGGGGAAUUUUGGACAAUGGGCGAAAGCCUGAUCCAGCAAUGCCGCGUGUGUGAAGAAGGCCUUCGGGUUGUAAAGCACUUUUGUCCGGAAAGAAAUCCUUGGCUCUAAUACAGUCGGGGGAUGACGGUACCGGAAGAAUAAGCACCGGCUAACUACGUG
rnacentral:rRNA from 1 species